AGCCCGCAUCGCCCUCACAGAGCUGCCGCCGCUAGCAGCUUACCACUUCCGGGGGGCAGGCCUGGCUAAUUAGGGGGCCAGGGCAGUAUGGGAUACUAUCCUGCAGGUGCCCAAGGCCCGCAUCGCCCUCAGAGCUGCCCCCGCUAGCAGCUUACCACUUCCGGGAGGCAGGCCUGGCUAAUUAGGGGGCCAGGGCAGUAUGGGAUACUAUCCUGCAGGUGCCCAAGGCCUGCAUCGCCCUCACAGAGCAGCCGCCGCUAGCAGCUUACCACUUCCGGGAGGCAGGCCUGGCUAAUUAGGGGGCCAGGGCAGUAUGGGAUACUAUCCUGCAGGUGCCCAAAGCCUGCAUCGCCCUCACAGAGCUGCCGCCGCUAGCAGCUUACCACUUCCGGGAGGCAGGCCUGGCUAAUUAGGGGGCCAGGGCAGUAUGGGAUACUAUCCUGCAGGUGCCCAAGGCCUGCAUCGCCCUCACAGAGCUGCCGCCGCUAGCAGCUUACCACUUCCGGGGGGCAGGCCUGGCUAAUUAGGGGGCUGGGGCAGUAUGGGAUACUAUCCUGCAGGUGCCCAAGGCCUGCAUCGCCCUCACAGAGCUGCCGCCCCUAGCAGCUUACCACUUCCGGGAGGCAGGCCUGGCUAAUUAGGGGGCCAGGGCAGUAUGGGAUACUAUCCUGCAGGUGCCCAAGGCCUGCAUCGCCCUCACAGAGCUGCCGCCGCUAGCAGCUUACCACUUCCGGGAGGCAGGCCUGGCUAAUUAGGGGGCCAGGGCAGUAUGGGAUACUAUCCUGCAGGUGCCCAAAGCCCACAUCGCCUCACAGAGCUGCCGCCGCUAGCAGCUUACCACUUCCGGGAGGCAGGCCUGGUUAAUUAGGGGGCCGGGGCAGUAUGGGAUACUAUCCUGCAGGUGCCCAAAGCCUGCAUCGCCCUCACAGAGCUGCUGCCGCUAGCAGCUUACCACUUCCGGGAGGCAGGCCUGGCUAAUUAGGGGGCCAGGGCAGUAUGGGAUACUAUCCUGCAGGUGCCCAAGGCCUGCAUCGCCCUCACAGAGCUGCCGCCGCUAGCAGCUUACCACUUCCGGGGGGCAGGCCUGGCUAAUUAGGGGGCUGG